rnacentral:rRNA from 1 species
AAGUCUGAUGGCAGCAAUGCCGCGUGAGUGAAGAAGGCCUUCGGAUCGUAAAACACUGUUGUUGGGGAAGAAAGGUCUGAGAGUAUACGUUUGCUAUUGACGUUACCCGAACAAAAAGCCACGGCUAACUACGUG